UACAGAGGUGGCAAGCGUUGUUCGGAAUUACUGGGCGUAAAGGGCUCGUAGGUGGCCAACUAAGUCAGACGUGAAAUCCCUCAGCUUAACUGGGGAACUGCGUCUGAUACUGGAUGGCUUGAGUUUGGGAGAGGGAUGCGGAAUUCCAGGUGUAGCGGUGAAAUGCGUAGAUAUCAGGAGGAACACCGGUGGCGAAGGCGGGUCUCUGGGCCGAUACUGACGCUGAGGAGCGAAAGCGUGGGGAGCAAACAGG
rnacentral:rRNA from 1 species